UACGAAGGGGGCUAGCGUUGCUCGGAAUUACUGGGCGUAAAGGGCGCGUAGGCGGACAGCUUAGUCAGAGGUGAAAGCCCAGGGCUCAACCUUGGAAUUGCCUUUGAUACUGGCUAUCUUGAGUUCGGGAGAGGUGAGUGGAAUGCCGAGUGUAGAGGUGAAAUUCGUAGAUAUUGGGAAGAACACCGGUGGCGAAGGCGGCUCACUGGCUCGUAUCUGACGCUCAGGCGCGACAGCGUGGGGAUCAAACAGG
rnacentral:rRNA from 1 species